GGUCCACCUUCACCUUCUCGCCGCUGCUCAGCAUCCCCACGGUGGGGUAGAGGCCUCCGGGGGGGACGGCCAUCUCCCUGCGGCCCAUCAGCUUCCCAUUCCUGGUGAAAAACACCUGCAGGACCACAGGGGGGCGACAUCUUCCUCACCGUGACCUUCCUGCCCUCCUGUUCCUGCUCUACCUCUUCCGCGUCCUCCUCUUCCUCCUCCUCCUCCUCUUCGUCGUUGAGGUACAGAACAUUCUGGAUGGCUGCGUGAGCCGGGCGGACCUCCAGCCGGUCCCAGUCGUCCACGUCGCCUGAGGACAAAGCACAGCACGGCGGUGCUGAGGAAGGGCUUUUACCUGAAAGAGCAGACUGUGCUGGAGUUGUCGCUGUGCCACGCGACUGCUCGCUGAUAAAAUGUCAGAUCAGGAUGUAGUCUCGUGGGAACAUGAUGCCGCAGCCCAUGAUGUCACCUUUGAAGCAGCGAGGACCGAAAGCAUCUCCAACCCCACUGCCAUGAAAGAUCUUCCCGUCGUCUGUUGGAGAGAAAGAGCAAGAAAUGAAACCCAAGCAUGAACUAAAAAAAUGUCUUUUAUGCAGUAGGAACAGCUAGAAUUCCAUAAGUCAAAGUAAAAUGAAAAACGAAACCUGAAUUUUUGUAUUUACAUUACAAAAAUUUAAAUAAACUGGAUUUAGUCAGUACAACAGUUUUCCAAGUGGUCACAGGUGUGACCAGUGUUGGGAGGAAAAUGAAGGCUCCAAAUACUUCAAAUAUUUACCUGUUUCCAUUUUUACAAUCUGUGCAAACUAAACAUUUUUAACUCAAGAAGGAUGUUUCACCAUGCUUGAUGUAUCGUCAAGUUGCUCCUCUGUUUACCAUUUUUGAGCCAUGCCACAUUUAAAACACGCUUAUUUGUUAGGUCAAAUAUGUGUUAUUUUCCCCUCAGUUAUAAAUCAUAAAAAGAAAAAUUAUAUCCAUCCAUCCAUUAUCUAUACACUGCUUAAUCUUCAUUAGGACUGAAGGAGGAAGCCGCAGUACCCAGAAAAAAACCCAUGCAUGCACAGGGAGACCAUGCAAACUCCAUGCAGAAAGAUCCCGGGAAAACCAUGACGUGAACCGGGGAUCUUCUAGCUGCAAGGCUAAAGUGCUAACCCAACGCCACUGUGCAGCCCCGAAAAGUUAUAUAUCUUUGAAUAUUUAUCUUACAAAAAAGGAAAACAAACAAACUGAGAUCAACAGAUGCAACAUUUUAUUCAAGUGCCCCCAGAUGUUUCCAAUAUUGGGGAUAAAAAUAAAUCUCAAAAUUACCUAUUUGCAUUUUUACAACCUCUAUAAGCUACACAUUUUUAUUCUAGAAAGAUGCUUCACCAUGAUGAAUGUAUCUUCCAACAACUUGUUCCUCUGUUUACUGUUUUUGAGCCUUGCCACAUUUAAAACAUAUUUGAUGCUUUGAUCAAAUAGGUUUUAUUUCCCUCUCAGUGUCUCUAAUUCGUUUCCAUACUUGUUACCUCUCUGCUCUAUGUAUACACUGCCUGCAGUUCAGCUGAAUGGUCACAGAAAUUUUGUCAGCUGAUUAAAUCAUGAUCUUUUGGUUGCAUUAAAUAGAGCAUAAUCAUGGCUAAUAAACAAAAGUUACAUUUCUUUGAGUAUUUAUUUUCUACAAAUAAUGAAAAAAAAAGAAUCACCAUGUAUAACAUUUUUCCAACACUGUAAACGUUCUACUAAUUUUCCAACCUCAAACUACCCUGAACAUUAACUCUGUAAUGAUGUUUCACUGUGUUGAAUGUAUCUUCCAACAGUUUGUUCCUCUGUGCUAUUUUUAAACCAAACAAAAAUUAUUCUGUUGAUCAAUUUUGCUUUAUUUUGCUCUAAAUUGUCUUGUUUUAAACACUAUCUGGCGCAAACUGCUUAUUUCUGACUCAUUUUUGAAACUAAACAUGUAGAAUAAAGUGUUUUUUGAAUUAAAUAACACAAAAUUUUAA